rnacentral:rRNA from 1 species
CGGACGGGUGAGUAAUGUCUGGGAAACUGCCCGAUGGAGGGGGGUAACUACUGGAAACGGUAGCUAAUACCGCAUAACGUCGCAAGACCAAAGAGGGGGACCUUCGGGCCUCUUGCCAUCGGAUGUGCCCAGAUGGGAUUAGCUAGUAGGUGGGGUAACGGCUCACCUAGGCGACGAUCCCUAGCUGGUCUGAGAGGAUGACCAGCCACACUGGAACUGAGACACGGUCCAG